UACAGAGGUCCCAAGCGUUGUUCGGAUUCACUGGGCAUAAAGGGUGCGUAGGCGGCCGUGUAAGUCUGACGUGAAAUCUUCAAGCUUAACUUGGAAACUGCGUCGGAUACUACUCGGCUUGAGGGAUGGAGGGGUGACUGGAAUACUUGGUGUAGCAGUGAAAUGCGUAGAUAUCAAGUGGAACACCAGUGGCGAAGGCGAGUCUCUGGACAUUUCCUGACGCUGAGGCACGAAAGCUAGGGGAGCAAACGGG
rnacentral:rRNA from 1 species